rnacentral:lncRNA from 1 species
CUCACGCUACAGUAGCUUCAUAGGUGUGGCCACAUCACUCAUGGAGUCCCUGUUUUGGGGAGGGAGGCGUGUAUGGCUUUCAAUUAUGGCAGACCAUGUUGAACCGAACCUUGCUUUCACUUGUUGUGGCACAAAAGGUUGUCCCACAGUAGAUGCUUAUCAUUCACUUAUCUAACACAGAGGUAGAACAUACGGUGCAGCCCUACAGACUACUACAGAUCAUCGGUUGAAUUUACACAACCUCACAACAUCACAACAAAGAGAAAGAGCUUAAUAAAUGUUCCAGAUUUACAUUUACUAUGUUACGGCUAGUCUAUGAGACCAGGCUGGUGUUCAAGAGCCCCCCUUCAUUUUCCUGGAGAUGUUGAGAAGAAGAGCAGCACAGUCAUCUGGACCAGAGCCUGAAUCUCUUGACUGCCCCCCUGAAACUCCUGACAACAGAGAGAUGAGAGACYCUCCCACAGCCCCACUGACUGACAGAACAGACCAGGAGGUGGAGGAUCACACAGACAACUUCCAAUGAGACUAUAACACCAG